rnacentral:rRNA from 1 species
GGGCCCGCACAAGCGGUGGAUGAUGUGGUUUAAUUCGAUGCAACGCGAAAAACCUUACCUACCCUUGACAUCCCAGGAACCUCGCAGAGAUGUGAGGGUGCCCGAAAGGGAACCUGGAGACAGGUGCUGCAUGGCUGUCGUCAGCUCGUGUCGUGAGAUGUUGGGUUAAGUCCCGCAACGAGCGCAACCCUUGCCACUAGUUGCUACAUUCAGUUGGGCACUUUAGUGGGACUGCCGGUGACAAACCGGAGGAAGGUGGGGAUGACGUCAAGUCCUCAUGGCCCUUAUGGGUAGGGCUACACACGUCAUACAAUGGCGCGUACAGAGGGCAGCCAACCCGCGAGGGGGAGCUAAUCUCAGAAAGCGCGUCGUAGUCCGGAUUGCAGUCUGCAACUCGACUGCAUGAAGUCGGAAUCGCUAGUAAUCGCGGAUCAGCAUGUCGCGGUGAAUACGUUCCCGGGCCUU